rnacentral:rRNA from 1 species
AGAGAGAGACAUGCGCGCAUAUCAAUAAGCGGAGGAAAAGAAACUAACAAGGAUUCCCCUAGUAACGGCGAGUGAAGCGGGAAGAGCUCAAAUUUGAAAUCUUAAAGGGUUUCCCUUUACGAAUUGUAGUUUAAAGAAGUGUUUUCUGUUGAGGUUCUGGUAAAAGUUCUUUGGAAUAGGACAUCAUAGAGGGUGAGAAUCCCGUAUUUGACCUUUACUUUCAACUUUGUGAUACACUUUCAAAGAGUCGGAUUGUUUGGGAAUGCAGUCCAAAAUGGGUGGUAAAUUUCAUCUAAAGCUAAAUAUUGGCGAGAGACCGAUAGCGAACAAGUACCGUGAGGGAAAGAUGAAAAGAACUUUGAAAAGAGAGUUAAACAGUACGUGAAAUUGUCAAAAGGGAAGCGUUUGACACCAGUGUUGUUUUUCUGAAAAUCAAUUAAAGAACUGUUUAUGCUAAGUUGUUUAGACUUUAUCAGCUAUACUGUUUAGUUUUGAGCUUUUCUUUAAUGCACUUUUCAGUUAACAAGUCAACAUCAAUUUCUUUUGCUGUAAAAAAGCUUGAGGAAGGUGGCUUGAGAUUCGUCUUAAGUGUUUAUAGCCUCUUGCCUAUGCAGUCGGAGAGAUUGAGGUCUGCAGCGUAGAUCCUUCGGGGCUAAAUGCAUUUGUGCUAAGUUAUAACAUUUUAUAGACAACUUGUUGACUAUGAUUUGUCUUGUAGCUUACUCGCUUAUGUUAUUUUACCUACGCUUAGGAUGUUGACGCAUGAGAUAUACGC